UAAUCCUUGCUACUUGGAUCAUGGUC
rnacentral:piRNA from 1 species